GGGGACCUGGACCCCGUAAGACUGGGAUAACUCCGGGGAACAACGGCUAAUAACCGAAGAAUAUCUAUUUAUACAUAUAAUUAGAUUGAAAGAGGGAUCUUCUGUCACUUACACAUGGGCCCCCCGCGCAUUAGCUACUUGGUGAGGUAACGGCUCACCAAGCGACGAUGCGAAGCCGACCUGAUAGGAUGAUCGGCCACACUGCGAGUGAUACAACACCCAGACUCCUACCGGAGGCAGCAGUAGGGAAUCUUCCGCAGUGGAGGAAAGUAUGCCGUAGCACCGCCGCGUGAGGGAUGAAGGUUUUCGGAUCGUAAAACUCUGCUGUUGGGAAGAACAGUAGCGUAGUACUACCAGUACCUUGACUGUACCUAACCAAAAAGACACGCAUAACUAAAUGCCAGCCCCACGCUAAUACAUAAGUGGCAAGCAUUGUCCGGAAUUAAUGGGCGUAAAGAAAGCGCAAGCGGUUCCUUUUGUCUGACGUGAAAGCACACCGCUCAACCAAGCAUGGUCAUUGCAUACUGAAGAACUUGAUUGCAUACUAGAAAGUGGAUUCAAUGUGUAGUGUGAAUGCUAGAGAUUUGGAUGAACACCAUACCGAAGCAACUUUCUGUCUGUACUGACCUGAGCUGCGAAGCAAGGGAGCAAACAGAUAGAUACCUGCCGGCACUCCGCCGUCAACGAUAGUGCUCGUGUUUGAGAGGGUGCCCCCUUACUGCUUAUCAACUAUGAUAAUAAGCACUCCACCCGCGAGACGUCGCCGCAAGGUUGAAACUCAAAUGAAUUGACGGCGCCGCCCACCA
rnacentral:rRNA from 2 species